rnacentral:rRNA from 1 species
UACGGAGGGGGCGAGCGUUAUUCGGAAUUAUUGGGCGUAAAGGGCGCGUAGGCGGCCCGGUAAGUCAAAGGUGAAAUCCCUCGGCUCAACUGAGGAACUGCCUUUGAAACUGUCGGGCUUGAGGCCGGGAGGGGGUAGCGGAAUUCCCAGUGUAGCGGUGAAAUGCGUAGAUAUUGGGAGGAACACCAGUGGCGAAGGCGGCUCACUGGACCGGAACUGACGCUGAGGCGCGAAAGCGUGGGGAGCAAACAGG